rnacentral:lncRNA from 1 species
AGCUGACUCUGGCUCUACAGCACAAUACACUCAGAAAUAAUAACAACAAACACACUUAAAACAGACGAAUAACAAAACAGUUUAACAGUUUUUCAUUAAACUACAUAGUUCUGGAUUUGAAAUCUUAUUGGCUUGUGGCUCAGGAGAGAGGAGAAAGAGGAGAGAGUGGGGUGGUUUGUCUAUAUAAUCACUCAUUGGCUGUUGUAGGCUCUAGGGUGGGCAUAGAAGCUCCUGUGCAGCAGGUCUAAUCCUUUGUUAACCUGUUGUUUCUCCUGAUUUACAGGCGAAAACGAGAAGAUUUACAUGGCUGCAAUAGCUGUACCUGUUGUCCUCGUCAUCCUUGUCAUUGCUGGUGUCUACAUCUAUCUGCGGUACAAAAGUCAACAUCAACCUCAGGCUCAAAUUCAAGAUCCAGAUCCAUCCAACGAACCACCAGUCGAACAUGAUCCCCACGAUGGAGCUCAAACUGAAGAUGUAGAUGCAGCAGAACCUGCCCAAGACCCAGUUCUGGAGGAGGCAGCUGAUGCACCUGAUGAAACUGUUUCACUGACUGGGACUGGAGCUGCUUAUCGCCGUCGCACAAAGUCGAGCGAGGACGCUGCUGCUUCACCAGAGAAAGAAAAUCUGUUGAAGUGAAAUGAAGACGGUGCCUCAGAUUGAGUCAGAAGUGUUUAUGACAACCUGGAUCAGAACUGAGUCAGGGAGGCAACAACCUGAAGAACUACUGCACAUAGACUAAAAUGAUCCUUGAAGACUUGAUCAGACAAACUCAGGUCCAUUAAACUGUGGUCCAUUAGCUGUUAGUCAAACUCUGGUGCUGAAUAAACAACCCGACAAAGCAAACGGACCAACAACAGUAUGUUGGGAUAGUUCUGAGUGUUUCUUCUCUGGUGUCACAAACAGCUGCCAGCUGGACUGUGGUUCUGGAGAAGAUGAUCUUUUCUUAAAUAUGGCAACUUUUAUCAACCACAUGAAGAAUUUCCCGUCUCAGAGGACUGAACAAAGGUCCGUUUAUUUCCACACACAGACUCGACCUUAUCGCCACAAUGAAGGCUCACAUCUAUUAUACCAUGGUCUGGGGGAAUACUCAAUUCUGAUUGGCUGCAGGGUGUCCAUUAACCCCUGAUAUAUGGACACCUACUAAGUAGUUCCAGUCAAAUUGACUGUUCACCGCUGUAAAUCAAUGCACUAGCUGGCGUAUCCAAUCUGAAUAUGUUAUUUCCAGCACUGAGUGCAGUCUGUCAGUCCUUCAGUGUCUUAUCCUCUGAACACCACAGGAUGGCGACUGUAACACACAAUCUGCAGAAAGUUCACUUCCCCUCUAAACUUACUGAUACGCGAAUAAUCUCACAUCCCGUUCACUGUUCAGCUCUCUGCUUCAGGCUGCGGCCACAGUAACGUUACACACGGCCGGUCAUUUGUUUGUGAAAAUCUUGCUGUUGAUUUGGGGACAAUGACAUGACUGGUUAGCUAGCUAAUCAUGUUAGCUAGCAUACUGUCAAAUUAUAUUUACUGUUUGUCAACCGUACGCAAUGUUAUUGACUUUGAAUCUUGCUAGCAUAGCGUUAGCUUUCUGGCUCAUCGCUGAGCGGACGAGAAUAUCUCCCGUUGCCGAGUCGUAUCUAUGAUCCGUCCUAUUUACUGGAGGAGUGAACAAGGUUUCUGUUGCAUAAGAAUCUUACGGGAGAUUAAUGACUGUUCCAGGUAUUAGUCAAACCCUCAGGCGUUACCAGGGAAACUUAGUUAUGGCUUGUGAAAAACUUUAUAUUUUGAUUGUAAAACACAUGAAAAUGUAAAUUAAUGGUCCGAAUUUCUUUUCUUUGUCAAGUGACCAUGGUAUAAGCGGGAUAAUGCCCUUCAAGGUGUCCAUAAUACAGGAGUUAAUGGACUUCGCGGAGGCAACCGUUCUUAGGCCUCCGCAUCGUCCAUUUACUCCUGUUUAUGGACACCUCGAAGGGCAUUAUCCCUUACUUAGUUCACACUGAACCAAGCAGCUCCAUCUGAAAGGCACUAAACUGGGUCCAGUUUAUAUAAACAGCCUGUCGGCCAAACGGAACCAAAAGUGGUGUGACGGUACACAUCAUGACGUUGACAUCCGUGUGUUUCUCAGUGUCACCUGUUAAUCUGAACAUGUACCUGCUGACUGUUUAUAAUCAUAUGGAUGCUGUUCUGAUGUGUUGUUAUUGAGGUCCAGACCCACCAAACAUCCUGGAAGGUGUCAAAGUUACGUUUUUUGCACUAAGUUACAUAAUUACAUCGUCACCAUCAGUGAACAGAACGCUGUCUACCUCUAUCACUCACAGGGAGGGAGGAUGUUUUCUGGGGAAAAGUUUUGGGCCGACCGUCGCUGUGAUUCUUUUCAAUACAAGUUAAAAGUUGGUAGGACAGACAGGAUGACAGACAGGAUGACAGACAGGAUGACAGACAGGAUGACAGACAGGACGACAGACAGGAUGACAGACAGGAUGACAAGUUUUUUCCUCAUUUAAGCUCCCAAAGACACUUCCAGUUACCUCAGUACUGUGUUUUGGUCCUGUUACGUUGCUUUGUGGGUUGAGGUUUGGAACAUUUCUUCUAUGUUUGAUGAGUGAAGGAAUUAUUUAUCUGUCAGACUGAACACCAUCAGACUGACACACUGCGGUCCACACUGACGCCAAACUGUCCUCCCUUAUUAUUAUCAGGACAUGAUUCCCACCUGGAAAGUGCUGUGUGAACGGGUCUGUGGUCUGUCGAUUUAUUAUGUUGUCUAUUUAUUUUUUUUUAGCUUUGAGUGUCCAGUGAGUGUUUCUGUAUCAUCUGUGUGUCUGAAUGUUGGGGUUUGUGUUGAAGUGUUGGAAUUUUUUAAAAAAUUAAACAAUGGUACUUGAAAAAGUAUUUGAUUUACUGUGUUGUCUUGUAUUUCACUAUAAAACUAAGUACAGAAAUGGUCAGAAGAAGUUGUGCGUGAACCAGAAUUGAGCGUAAAAACAGAAUAAUUAAGAAUAAACCAAAUGCUU